rnacentral:rRNA from 1 species
GUUGAACGCUGGCGGCGUGCCUAAUACAUGCAAGUCGAGCGAACAGACGAGGAGCUUGCUCCUCUUACGUUAGCGGCGGACGGGUGAGUAACACGUGGAUAACCUACCUAUAAGACUGGGAUAACUUCGGGAAACCGGAGCUAAUACCGGAUAAUAUAUUGAACCGCAUGGUUCAAUAGUGAAAGACGGUUUUGCUGUCACUUAUAGAUGUAUCCGCGCCGCAUUAGCUAGUUGGUAAGGUAACGGCUUACCAAGGCAACGAUGCGUAGCCGACCUGAGAGGGUGAUCGGCCACACUGGAACUGAGACACGGUCCAGACUCCUACGGGAGGCAGCAGUAGGGAAUCUUCCGCAAUGGGCGAAAGCCUGACGGAGCCACGCCGCGUGUGUGAUGAAGGUCUUCGGAUCGUAAAACUCUGUUAUUUGGGAAGAAGAAAUGUGUAAGUAAAUAUGCCCGUCUUGACGGUACCUACACAGAAAGCAACGGCUAACUACGUG